AAAUUUUAUUGCCAUUUGCCCGAAAUUUCAAGAAUAUCGAAAAUGUUACUUUGGUAAACAUAAAUUAGAACACGUAUACUUUUUAAAGGUUUUAAAUGGAGAAAAUUAUUUAAAUUAGGCAAAACUUUAUUCUUAUGUCAAAACUUAGAAAAGUAUUACUAGAUAAUUAAAAAAAAAUAUGAAUAUAAUCGGGGAUGGGUAAUGUCUGUAAUUUACAAGCGUAAUUUACUCGUAAACGACGUAUAUUAUAUGUAAAUUACGCUUAAGUUGUAUACCUAUACAUGAUUAGGAGGGUACAAUGGUGUGCGUUGAAGUCUUUGGCGUGAGCCUGCAUGGAGUCGCCAUUGGCACAGAUCUUUGUGGUAGUAGCAAAUAAUGGAAUGAGACCUUGGAGGACUGAAGUGGAGAAGGGUUUCGUGU
rnacentral:ncRNA from 1 species